AGCAGGGGGAAUAACACAGGGCUGUGAAUGAGUCCUGUCACUGUGAUCAGGCUCCUCCUUCUAAUCCACCAACUUAGUGUUGAUGAAGACUAAACAGAGAGAUCACAGCUUCUUUAUACUUGCUGUAGCUCACAGUUACUCUACACUGCAGAUAUGACGCCUCUGUUCAUCUCAGUGCUGCUGGCUGCUAUGUGCCUCGAAUGCAGAGCACAAAAAGACAACGUGCUGCAAGCAAAAGGAGAAGAGACUGCUGCUGCAGGAGGCACAGUAACACUUCACUGUCUCUAUAACACCAGCUCAUCAAAUCAUUAUCUCUACUGGUACAAACAGGAUGGAAACAACAGCCCCAAAUUCAUCCUGAGUCGCUUUAAAGUUGGUGAAGGGAAAACAGAGGCUGGAGACAGAUUUUCAUCCACACUGGAUUCCAGCAUCAGAUCAGUUCCUCUGAAGAUCCAGAAGCUUCAGCUGUCUGACUCUGCUGUGUACUACUGUGCUCUGCAGCCCACAGUGACAGGAAACACCAAAACUCUGUACAAAAACCUUUGGAGCAAAGACAGACUGCUGGAGAAGGUAAUAACAAGGGCCGUGAACUCAGAAUCGGUGACUUGGGUCGCCAUGAUGCCACUGAUGGGCGUGGAGGUGACCGACUGA